GCCGGUGUGGUGGAAUUGGUAGACACGCUAGAUUCAAAAUCUGGUUCCUUCGGGAGUAACGGUUCAAGUCCGUUCACCGGUA
rnacentral:tRNA from 1 species